GGCCCCGUUGUCUAGCGGUCUAGGACAUCGCCCUCUCACGGCGAAGACUGGGGUUCGAGUCCCCACGGGGUCACCA
rnacentral:tRNA from 1 species